AAGUGAAUCUCUGCCAGCUCUCUCUUUCCGAGUCACAUCUCAGAUUCUCUUCACUUGAAUCAAGCUACUCCAAGCUUCUGCACACAUCUGGUCCAACACUACUUUGGGAUAUGUUUUGCUAAGGUUGCUGCUCUGCCUGGAAGGCCCUCAUUCCUCAGCUGCAUGACCCGAGGUUUCCUUCCUCUAAGAUUUUGCUAGCGGCUCCUAGAUGCCUUCCAAACCAACUUCUCUUCUAUGAGAUCAGCUCUCAGCUUUGUAUUCCCUGGCACUUAUGGAGUAUGUUAUGGAGGUAAGAGAAGAAAAUAAGUGCAACAUGCCAGAAAUCCAGUAAAGCAGUUCAAGUAUCAGAAGAGCAUGAAUCAAAACCAAGUGCAAGAAGAGGCACCUUGAUAUUGAACUGAAGGCCACCAGGUACUCACUGGGUCAAUGACUCUUCUCAUUUUUAUUCUCCUGCCAGUGCUUCCAAUCACUGAACUGAACUGGGAACCAAUCAACAAGGGAAACCAGGAGAUGCAGCCCUUGAAGUUCAGCCUCCUGGCCUCAAGUAAGGCAGGGGAAGAGAAUACAUAGAUCUGUGGAGACGAGUGGUGGUGGUGGGAGCUGCCAAUAAAGAACUAUCAAAAAAGGAUGAUGCAACAGAAAAGCCAUCACCAGAUACCAGCACCUUAAUGUUGGACUUCUCAGCCUCCAGAACUGUAAGAAAUAAAUCCCUGUUCUUUAUAAAUUACCCAGUCUGAGGUAUCCUGUUUUAGCAGCACAAAAUGGACUAUGAUAGAAAAUUGGUACGAAGGAGUAGUACCAUUGUUAUAACAAAUACCUAAAAAUGGAAGCCACUCUGGAACUGGGUAAGGGGUAGAGUAUGGAAGAAUUUAGAGGAGCAGGCUAGAAAAAGCCUAAAUUGCUGUGUAUUACUCCAAGAUGGUAAGAAAUAAAUCUCUGUUUUUUAUAAAUUGCCCAGACUCACAGCACAAAACAAAUUAAGACAUUAAGAUUUGCCCCAUUCUUAGAAUUCAUUUCUUCCAUUUUCCUUUUAAUUAAAUCAAUGCCAGCAUCUAAGCAGUGUGCACCUUUUGACCAUAGUCUUUCUAAUUGACCGGAAGCUUAGAUGUGGAAAAUGCAAAAAUUAUGCACAUUUCUGGUGGGUUUAACUUCUGAGAAAUUUUUACAAGAUUUUCCUUAUUUUAUCUGCUCCAGUAAACCUGUGGUUUCAUGAACAGGCCUAGAAUUUGAGAUCCAGCUUCUAAACUUCAAAGGUGACUUUUCAACCCAUUUGUUUAUAGACCUGGUAUUAACCUUUUGAGUUCUAGAAUAGGGUUUUAGAACUUACUUUCAUAAAAAUUUAUAUAGUCAAUUCCAUUCAUUUAUGCUAAGGACAUAGAAUAUUUCUAGAUUGCACAAUAUGUUUCUGUGGGAAUUGAAUGGAAAUCCAGGUUUCCUGACAAGAAACAAAGGAUCUUUUAAUCUCUCUUGAUCCCAGUCACUUCUCAAGAAAAAAAUUAUUUACCUGAAUUCCAUUGCUUCCUUGUGGGAUUUUUUUAAAAUGCUGGAUUGUGGAUUAAAUAAAAAGAUCUGAGAAAUAGGUCAGAAAUUAAAUCCUGGUGUUGUCAUGGUUUUUUUUAAAUAGCACCCUUGAAAUUGGUUGCAGAACAUACAUUUUAUCUGAUUCUAAUUAUGUGGAAUUUCGAAGUCAUUUUGGUAACAGAAACUACUCUAACCUGUUAUUAAACUCAGGAUUUUUUUAAGAAAUAAAAAUUGCCUGGUAAGAAUGUUAACGUUUAAAAAACUAUUAGUGAAUCAGACCAACAAAGCCUACUCAAAUGAAUCUGUAUCUUUAUUCAUGGUUCAAGCAUUACUUCCACUUAACUAAAAA